GACGAACGCUGGCGGCGUGCUUAACACAUGCAAGUCGAACGGGUCUGCCCUGUUUUUUGCGGGGUGGGUCAGUGGCAAAGGGUGAGUAAACCGUGAGUAACCUGCCCCUCCCUUCUGGAUAACCGCCUGAAAGGGGGGCUAAUAAGGGGUGUUUUUGCUGUGCCGCAUGGUGUGGGCGGGAAAGAUUCCCUUUUGUGGUGGUUUGGUUGGGGGUGGGCUUGCGGCCUAUCAGGUUGUUGGGGGGGUGAUGGGCUGGCAAGGCUUUGACGGGUAGCCGGCCUGAGAGGGUGGGCGGUCACACUGGGACUGAGAUACGGCCCAGACUCCUGCGGGAGGCAGCAGUGGGGGGUAUUGCACAAUGGGCGGAAGCCUGAUGCAGCGACGUCGCGUGAGGGAUGGAGGCCUGCGGGUUGUGAACCUCUUUCGCCGGUGAAGAAGGUCCUGCUCUUUGUGGUGGGGUUGACGGUAGCCGGGUUAUGAAGCGCCGGCUAACUACGUG
rnacentral:rRNA from 1 species